UCACUUUAGUUGCCAUCAUUAAGUUGGGCACUCUGAAAGAACUGCCAGUGAUAAGCUGGAGGAAGGUGGGGAUGACGUCAAGUCCUCAUGGCCCUUACGUGUUGGGCUACACACGUGCUACAAUGGUAUCUACAACAGGAAGCAAGACUGCGAAGUUAAGCAAAUCCCUAAAAGAUACCUCAGUUCGGAUUGCACUCUGCAACUCGAGUGCAUGAAGCUGGAAUUACUAGUAAUCGUGGAUCAGCGUGCCACGGUGAAUGCGUUC
rnacentral:rRNA from 1 species